GACGAACGCUGGCGGCGUGCUUAACACAUGCAAGUCGAACGGAAAGGCCCUGCUUUUGUGGGGUGCUCGAGUGGCGAACGGGCGAGUAACACGUGAGUAACCUGCCCUUGACUUUGGGAUAACUUCAGGAAACUGGGGCUAAUACCGGAUAGGAGCUCCUGCUGCAUGGUGGGGGUUGGAAAGUUUCGGCGGUUGGGGAUGGACUCGCGGCUUAUCAGCUUGUUGGUGGGGUAGUGGCUUACCAAGGCUUUGACGGGUAGCCGGCCUGAGAGGGUGACCGGCCACAUUGGGCCUGCGAUACGGCGCAGACUCCUACGGGAGGCAGCAGUGGGGAAUAUUGCACAAUGGGCGGAAGCCUGAUGCAGCAACGCCGCGUGCGGGAUGACGGCCUUCGGGUUGUAAACCGCUUUCGCCUGUGACGAAGCGUGAGUGACGGUAAUGGGUAAAGAAGCACCGGCUAACUACGUG
rnacentral:rRNA from 1 species